rnacentral:sRNA from 1 species
GAGAACGUUGGUUUAUUUGUAAACAAAGAAAGGAGAAAGAAAAGAAAGGAAAGACGAGGCAAAAUAUCAAGAUUGAGAACAAAUAUACCAUUUGGGAAGAAGAACACAGCUAACACAAAACAUUGCAGUUAUUAAAAUUCACAUACAACCUAAAUGACAUAAUCAAGUUGAAAUACAUGUAAUACAAACAGUGCAACCUGCUCAAGAAAAAAACCCCUCUUACAACAUAAUAUCUGUAAAAGACCAAAUAAUAAAGUAAAUCAAACCAACAAAGCAAACAAGACUACAAAUCAACAGGAUUGCCAUAGAAGAAAUUGCUGUUGCAAUAUAUGUUACCUUUAACAUACAAAAGUUUAUGAAGCAGAACAACAUAAAUAAAUAUAAAAUCCAUUG